AUUGAACGCUGGCGGAAUGCUUUACACAUGCAAGUCGAACGGUAGAGGGGGCAACCCCUCGAGAGUGGCGAACGGGUGAGUAAUAUAUCGGAACGUGCCCAGUCGUGGGGGAUAACGUAGCGAAAGUUACGCUAAUACCGCAUACGAUCUAAGGAUGAAAGCGGGGGAUCGCAAGACAUCGCGCGAUUGGAGCGGCCGGUAUCAGAUUAGGUAGUUGGUGGGGUAAAGGCUCACCAAGCCAACGAUCUGUAGCUGGUCUGAGAGGACGACCAGCCACACUGGAACUGAGACACGGUCCAGACUCCUACGGGAGGCAGCAGUGGGGAAGUUUGGACAAUGGACGCAAGUCUGAUCCAGCCAUUCCGCGUGCAGGAUGAAGGCCCUCGGGUUGUAAACUGCUUUUGUACGGAACGAAAAGGUCUCUCUUAAUACGGGGGACUCAUGACGGUACCGUAAGAAUAAGCACCGGCUAACUACGUGCCAGCCGCCGCAGUAA
rnacentral:rRNA from 1 species